UACAGAGGUGUCAAACGUUGUCCGGAAUUACUGGGCGUAAAGGGCGCGUAGGCGGCCUUAUAAGUCAGAUGUGAAAGCUCCGGGCUCAACCCGGGAAUUGCAUCUGAUACUGUAAGGCUUGAGUUCGGUAGAGGAGGGCGGAAUUCCAGGUGUAGCGGUGAAAUUCGUAGAUAUCGGGAGGAACACCGGUGGCGAAGGCGGCGACCUGGGUCGAUACUGACGCUGAGGUGCGAAAGCGUGGGGAGCAAACAGG
rnacentral:rRNA from 1 species